GGAGGGAGAGAGAGAGAGAGGACUGUGAGACCAGAAGCUUCGUUCUUGUCUUCUCCUUCCUCUUCCUCGCCGCGUCGUCGGCACUAGAGCAUCAGGGUCCCGUCCGCCGUUGCUGAGGUGUUUGUGCAACCUUCCUCCUUCCUUCCUUGUUCUGCACCUUUAUUUUACAGAGAGCUCCAGAAACCACCGAGAAAAUGAGAGAACUUUGGUCUUCCUCCACCUACUUCUUCGCGAGGGUGGUGAGAAAUCCAUUUGCCGCCGUUCUUUCUUGUCGGCUUCUUUGGGGUACAAUUGUUUAAGACUUCAGUCAUCAUCCUUCGUGUCUCUGUUCGAUAUCCCCUCUCGGUGUAUGUGUCGGAGGUUGUGUGAGGAGAUUGGUUGCCGGAGAAGCUCGUGGUGCCGCUGCUAGAUGUUGCCAUCAGCCUCUCAUUUUCCUUCUUCAUUGCAGCUAUGUCAGAAUCCUCUCCUCCCCUGUUUAAUGUUGUGUGAUCUUUUUCUCUCCUUGCUUUUUUUGCUGCUGAUUGAAGGGUGUUUAGAAGAAAGAAGACUUGACUUUAAAGAGUGAAUUUGCAUUUGGGGACACUACGGAAACGCCUUACCUCCAGCGCCCUUACAAUUCCAAGAGGAAAUACUCAUAAAGGAUGAAGACAUGUCAGGGAAUCACACAAUCAUCUGGCGUAGUUUUGCAGGUCUCAUCUGCUAUCCCGUGGUCUACUCUGGUAUGGUCUGAACGUCUUGGGAACCAUCAUGAAAGUUUUGAAGUCGUCUUCCUCCUCUUGAUGCAUCCCCUGUUUAACCAGCAUCUUGCUUGGUUGUGAUGGAUUCUCUCCCAUCAGAAUUUUGUGCUCAGUCAUAUGCUCAUAUUUCCACGGGUAUUCUUCUCCCCGGUGUCCAUAUCGUCCACAUUUGAGAGUGUCUGCCAGCCGAUCCGGAGGUUGCUUACGUUGGUCCUUGACGUCGGAGUUCAUCACAAGUCAGUUAAAAGAAGGGAUUUUUCAACUUGAGAAGGAAACUUUGACGAUUCGGAGCCGCCAAGUGCCAACUCUAAUGCAAAGAAAAUGAUCCAUUUUAUAGAAUUAUUCUUAUUUCUUGUUUCAAUUAUUUUACAUUAUUCUUGAAUUUAUUUAUUUAUCUUUCUUUAAAAUUUAUUUAUUGAGGAUUCUAUUCAUUAAAAAAAUAUUUUUGAUCCCAAAUUCAUUAGCUAACAAUGAACCUCCUGUCGAUCAUUGAAAGGCUUGCUACUAUAUUGGGUGAAUAUUUAUUUUAAGAAUGUCUCUUCUUUUGACGCAUAUUUUCAAUUAUGUGUUUUAUGUUGAGACAAUAAUUU